rnacentral:tRNA from 1 species
GGAUGCGUGGUCUAGUGGUAUGACGCUCGCACACAAGAGGAGGGCUCCGCGCGGAGGGACUUUUCCCUGGCACAUACGACCGUUUGGUCGUGUGGGGCUGCCGUGGUGGUGCGAGAGACCCAGGUUCAAUUCCUGGCGCGUCCA